AUUGAACGCUGGCGGCAGGCCUAACACAUGCAAGUCGAGCGGAUGAAGGGAGCUUGCUCCUGGAUUCAGCGGCGGACAGGUGAGUAAUGCCUAGGAAUCUGCCUGGUAGUGGGGGAUAACGUCCGGAAACGGGCGCUAAUACCGCAUACGUCCUGAGGGAGAAAGUGGGGGAUCUUCGGACCUCACGCUAUCAGAUGAGCCUAGGUCGGAUUAGCUAGUUGGUGGGGUAAAGGCCUACCAAGGCGACGAUCCGUAACUGGUCUGAGAGGAUGAUCAGUCACACUGGAACUGAGACACGGUCCAGACUCCUACGGGAGGCAGCAGUGGGGAAUAUUGGACAAUGGGCGAAAGCCUGAUCCAGCCAUGCCGCGUGUGUGAAGAAGGUCUUCGGAUUGUAAAGCACUUUAAGCUGGGAGGAAGGGCAGUAAGUUAAUACCUUGCUGUUUUGACGUUACCAACAGAAUAAGCACCGGCUAACUUCGUG
rnacentral:rRNA from 1 species